rnacentral:rRNA from 1 species
UUGAACGCUGGCGGCAUGCCUUACACAUGCAAGUCGAACGGUAACGGGCCUUCGGGUGCCGACGAGUGGCGAACGGGUGAGUAAUACAUCGGAACGUGCCCGAUCGUGGGGGAUAACGAGGCGAAAGCUUUGCUAAUACCGCAUACGAUCUACGGAUGAAAGCAGGGGACCGCAAGGCCUUGCGCGGACGGAGCGGCCGAUGGCAGAUUAGGUAGUUGGUGGGAUAAAAGCUUACCAAGCCGACGAUCUGUAGCUGGUCUGAGAGGAUGAUCAGCCACACUGGGACUGAGACACGGCCCAGACUCCUACGGGAGGCAGCAGUGGGGAAUUUUGGACAAUGGGCGCAAGCCUGAUCCAGCCAUGCCGCGUGCAGGAUGAAGGCCCUCGGGUUGUAAACUGCUUUUGUACGGAACGAAAAGCCUUCUUUUAAUACAGGAGGGUCAUGACGGUACCGUAAGAAUAAGCACCGGCUAACUACGUG